rnacentral:misc_RNA from 1 species
UGAUCCAUCUUCAAACUGGUAUUGGCAAACAAGACCAUAUCCGCCAGUGUUGGACUCACCCGCAACAAUCCUGGAACUGUUUUGAUCCAUGCUUUUUUGGGUACAGAGGGACCUUAAUUUCCUUUCAACCCUGAAAACCUUGCUUAGGAUAAUGAUAGGGUUCUUGUGAAAUUUUUGGUUUCUUGAUAUAAAGAAAAGGAACUGAAGGAUAAGAAUUGAGAAAUGUAGGAUCUUAAAUAGCGGAAAUUCCUGCUUAAUUUACAAGCAACUUACAAGA